rnacentral:rRNA from 1 species
AAAACAUAACCUUUAGCCACCAACCAAUAUUAAAGGCAACGCCUGCCCAGUGAACAAUUAAACGGCCGCGGUACCCUAACCGUGCAAAGGUAGCGUAAUCACCUGUCUAUUAAUUGUAGACCCGUAUGAAUGGCAAAAUGAGGGUUUAACUGUCUCUUAUGAUAAAUCAAUUAAACUGAUCUCCCAGUCCAAAAGCUGGAAUACCCCCAUAAGACCAGAAGACCCUGUGAAGCUUUAACUAAACUAUUAAACCCAAUAAUAGCUCCUUUGGGUUGGGGCGACCUUGGAAAAAAAAAGAACUUCCAAACUAAAUGAUUUACACCAUACUUUAUUAGGCCGACAAGCCUACUAACAGACCCAGCACAGCUGAGUAAUGAACCAAGUUACUCCAGGGAUAACAGCGCCAUCUUCUUCAAGAGCCCAUAUCAAAAAGAAGGUUUACGACCUCGAUGUUGGAUCAGGACAUCCUAAUGGUGCAGCCGCUAUUAAGGGUUCGUUUGUUCAACGAUUAACAGUCCUACGUGAUCU